ACAUCAUUAUGUAGUGGUUUCUCAGAGGCUUGAAUCCAGGCCAUCUGGAUCCAGAGUGCCAGCUCUUAACCACCACGUUAUGCUGACUCUUCUAUUUGGGCUGCUGUGAAAAGGGUUGAAUUCUUGAUUUGAUUCUCAGCUUGAAGUCUGCAUAGCCAAAGCAAGACUAAGCAAAAAGAACAAAUCUGGAGGUAUCACAUUACCCAACUUCAAACUACUACAGAGCUGUAGCUACUGAAACAUGAUGGCAAAGGUAUAAAAACAGACAUGUAGACCAAUGGAACAACAUAGAGAAUCCAGAAAUAAAAUUGAAUACUUAUAGCCAUCUGAUCUUUGACAAAACAAACAAAAACAUAAAGCGGAGAAAGGACAGCCUAUUCAACCAUUGGUGCUGGGAUAAUUGACAAGCCACAUGUAGUAGAAUGGUACUGAAUUCACAUCUCUCACCUUAUAAGAUAGAUGAAGGAAUUAAAUCUAAGACCUGAAACAAUAAAAAUUCUAGAAGAUAACAUCAGAAAGUCUUUUCUAGACAUUGGCUUAGACAAGGACUUCAUGACCAAGAACCCAAAAGCAAAUACAACAAAAACAAACAUAGAUCGACGUGACUUAAACUAAAAAUCUUCUGCACAGCAAAAGAAAUAAUCAGCUGAGUAAACAGACAACUCACAGAGUGGGAGAAAAUAUUCACAAACUAUGCAUCUGACAAAUGACUAAUAUUCAGAAUCUACAAAGAGUUUGAACAAAUCGACAAGAGGAAAACAAAUAAUAUGAUCAAAAAGUAGGCUAAGAUCAUGAAUUGACAAUUCUCAAAAGAAAAUAUACAAAUGGCCAACAAACAGAAAAAAAUGCUCAACAUCACUAAUUAUCAUGGAAAUGCAAAUCAAAACCACAAUGCAAUACCACUGUCCUCCUGUAAGAAUGGACAUCAUUAAAAAACCCCAAAAUAAUAUAAUAUUGGCAUGGAUGUGGUAAAAGGAAACACAUAAACUAGCACAACCACUACAGAAAACAGUAUGGAGAUUCCUUAAAGAACUAAAAGUAGAUCUACAUUUUUACCCACCUAUCCUAUUACUGGGUAUCUACCCAUAAAAAAAGAAGUCAUUAUAUGCAAAGACUCAUGCACACACAUCUUUACAGCAGUACAAUUCCCAAUUGUAAAAAUAUGGAACAAACCUAAAUGCCCAUCAAGCAAUGGGUGUAUUAAAAAAAUGUGGUAUACACACACACACACACCGUGGAAUACUACUCAGCCAUAAAAAGGAACAAAAUAAUGCCAUUCAUAGCAACCUGGAUGCAGCUGGAGACCAUUAUUCUAAGUGAAGUAAUUCAGGAUUAGUUCUAGCAAACUUCCAGACACAAAACAUACAACAUUUUGUGAUGAUAAAUAUCACAGUUGCCACAUAGUCCAGCAGGAACCCAAUCAUAUCCAAAGAGUGGUACUGGAACCAGGUGAGGUCACGGGCUGCAACCUGAAGGUGUUUGGCUCCUUUAUGGCACAUGACAAAUUCAAUCCAGAAGACUGCUCGAUCCAGGGGCUUCACUGGUUGAUCAUGAUAAAUUCUUGAUAACUUUAUAAUGUUCUCUUUAUAUCUGAAGGAUAAAUGUAGAGAUACCAAAAUUGAAAGUAAGUUAAUUUGCUUGAGCAUAUCAAGUCCAUAUAAGGUUUUUAUUUUGCUUAUUUAUUUAUUUAUUUAUUUACUUAUUUAUUGAGAUGGAGUCUUACUCUGUCGCCCGGGCUGGAGUGUAGUGGCGCAAUCUCGGCUCACUGCAACCUCCGCCUCCUUUGGGGUCAAGAGAUUUUCCUGCCUCAGCCUCCCGAGUAGCUGGGAUUACAGGCAUACACCAACACACCUGGCUAAUUUUUACAUUUUUAGUAGAGACGGGGUUUUUCCCUGUUAGCCAGGCUAGUCUCAAACUCCUGACCUCAGGUGACCCAUCCAUCUCGGCCUCCCGAAGUGCUGGGAUUACAGGCGUGAGCCACUGCAUCCAGCCCAUGAAAGGUUUUUAAAGUGUCAAAUGAUUCAAAGUAAAUGUCAUAGAAUUGACAUAGAAUUUGAGUAAUUUAAUUUGAAUCAUCAUAGAAACUUUGGCUUUUAAAUUGGAAUUUUAUCAUUGACAAAUAUUUUUAAGGUAAAAAUGGAAAGCCAAGUGAGAAAACUAAUUUCUUUCAGGCAAAGCAAAUAUGAGCCAUUUCAUUAUUAUUUGUUAGUUUGUUAAUUUUCAGUUUUUUUGGGUACUUAGUAGGUGUAUAUAUUUAUGGGUUGAGUGAGAUGUUUUGAUACAGGCUGCAAUGUAAAAUAAUCACACCAUGGAGAAUAAGGUAUUGUUCCUUAAGCAUUUAUCCUUUCUGUUAUGAACAAUCCAAUUAUACUCUUUUAGUUCUCAAACAGGCAAAUGAGAACGUGCUCAACAUUGUGAGCAAUUUUAAGUCCUUUAGGAAAGAUAGUGAAAAUACAAUUAUCAUUUUUAAGUUCCAAAAAGGAAUUGUGUCAUGGUGAGUGAAAUGCCUCAUAGCUAGUCACUCUGCUUCUACCCUACCCUUUUCUCUCCUACUGUUUCCUACCCAGCAGCCAGAAUUAUAUUUUUGAAAUAAAAGUCAGAUUUUGCCACUCUCCUGAUUAAGAUUUUUGCCUGACUUCUUAUCAUAUUAAAAAUAAAAUCCAACUCUGUUAUUUGGUCUACAGGACCCUGCAAUGUCAAACACUGGCAAGCUCUUCUCCUAACACUUUUUCCAUGCACACUAGGUCUUCUAGAGACAUUGCCCUUCUAUUUUUCUUUAAGUUCCCAAAAGUAUCCUCACCAUAGCAUCUUUAAACAUUUUGCCCCCUCUGUCACACUCUUGGAGCAUUCUUUCUUGCAACAACCCAAGGCAUGCUUCUAUCUCUUUUUGAGGCUUCCCUCUAAGUGUUACCUCUAAGCGAGGUUUUCCUGGCCACACUAUGAUGGAACCUCUAGGAUUUUCUCUAUUGUUUUAUGCUUAUUUUGAUAUUUGAUUCCUAGAAUUUUAAAUACAUUAUAUAACUUAUAAAAUAAAUCUUUGAAUAUUAAAACCAAAAGAUAAAUAUACACACACUAAGUGAAUAGGUCACAAGUAUUAGAUCAUCUUGAACAUUAUCUUGAAGAGAAGAUACCAAUUUCCCUACUGUUCAGAUCAUGAUAUAUGAUACCACAACCUGUCUAGAAUAACUCUCUUUUCCUGAACCAUUUAGUCACUACUUUUAUCCUUCAGUUAAAUAUUAGUCUGACUUCAAAUAUAAUACAUUAGUUUUCUUUAUUUAUGUAAUUGAAUUAUAUAACAUACAUUCAUUAGAGUCUAUUUUUUAAAAUUUUGUAUAGCAGUUGUUAUUUAAUUCCAUUGCUGUGUAGUAUUUUGUUGAUUGCUAAACCACAGAUUAUGUCAUCAUUUUAUGACCAAUAGACAUUGGGGUUGCUAACGAUUUUUGAACAAUAUUAAUAAUUCUGUUAUAAACAUUGUUGUAUAUGAAAUGCAAGAGUUCUGCGCCUCCCCUCACAAGAUGUGCGACAGCUGUGUGGCUCAUCUGUUCAGCCCCCAUUCAUGUUCAAGCCCGUUAUGGGAGGGGGAGCAUGCAGACAGGCAGGUGCGGGAGCCUGGGCAAGCGCCCCUGGACUGUGUUCCCACGGCAGCAUCCAGGGGUGGUUGUCUGCAGCUCCUGAAGCCCAAGUGGGUAUGUGUUAGUGUACUCUUUUAGCCUUGCCAUGUACUGAUGGCUUAAGUGUUAACCAGUUCAGUGCCCUGUUAGUACUCAGGUCCUUGUCCAGCAUCCAGGAAGAAUCAGGUCGCACACGGACUUGAAGGAUGAAUGCAUGGGUUUUAUAGAGUGGUGGAGGUGGCUCUCAUUGAGAUGAAUGGGGAGCUGGAAUGGUGAUGGAAUGGGAAGAUGAUCUUCCACUGGGGUUUGGCCAUCCAGCAUCCAAUCUCCUCUCUUUUCCAACUGUCUCCAGCUGAACUACUCUUGGCAUUCAGAAACUCCUUCUCUUCUCUCUGAUGCACCAUUCUGCCAUCCUUCUGCUCUUCUGUUCAUGCUGGGUGUUUGGGGUUUAUAUGGGUACAGAAUAGGGGGGCAUUGUGGGCCAAAAGGCAACUUUUGGGGGCUCAAAAACAGAAUGUCUGUUCUCAUUUAUGGCCAUGAGUUUUCAGGCUUGAGGGUGGGACCUCUGCUGGGGAACUGACCUCUUCUACCCAGUAUUUUCCUGUUUCCUGUCCAUGUCAUAUAUAGCACAAGGUUUACAUAUUUAUACAUAUCUGUUGGGCAUAUAAUUAAAAGUAGAAUUGCUGAGAUAAAAGUGCAUGCAUAAUUAUCAUUCACUUCUUGACUUUUUUUUUAUUUUUAAUUCUUUAAACUUUUAAAUUUAUUUUUAUUUUUAUUUUUUUGAAACGGAGGUUUGCUCUUGUUGCCCAGGCAGGAGUGUGAUGGCAUGAUCUUGGCUCACUGCAUCCUCUGCCUCCGAGGUUCAAGCGAUGGCUCACGCCUGUAAUCCCAGCACUUUGGGAUGCCAAGGCGGGUGGAUGAUCUGAGGUCAGGAAUUCGAGACCAGUCUGACCAACACAGUGAAACCUCAUCUCUACUAAAAAUACAAAAUUGGCCAGGCAUGGUGGUGCAUGCUUGUAUUCCCAGCUACUCAGGAGUCUGAGGUGGAGCUUUAAAUUUUUUGAAGUGUAUAUUUUUAAUUUCCAAAAUUAAAAGUAUUUUAGUUAUCAUUUUUCCAAUAUCCCUUACUUCCACUUAGGCUGAAUCAUUUACUCUUUAUGAUAUUGAAUCUUUUCAAAUUUACUGAGUCUUGAUUUAUGGCCCACCACAAGUCACUUCAAAUAACUAUUAAUAAUUCAACAUGCUCUAAGAAAAUGUGUCUUCCAGUUGACAUAUAUAGUACAUAUGUGUGUGUGCAUAUAUAUAUAUGUAUAUAUAUGCGUGUGUGUAUCAUGUUACAUUAUAAGUUUCCAUUUGUUAACUGUGUUCUUCUAACGUUUUAUGUCCUUAUUCAUUAUUUGCUUCUCUUUUUAAAGUCUGUUUAGAUUUAAUGGAAGUAUCUGUAUAUUCACAUUUAAAUAAACCACGUUGUUUGAUGUUUCUUUUA